UUCUAGCCCUAGGGCAGAUAGCAAUGAAAAUCCCUAUGUGCCCGGGCUUGGCACAAAAGAUUGGAACAUUAGCGGGAAAAAGC
rnacentral:sRNA from 2 species